rnacentral:rRNA from 1 species
UACGUAGGGAGCAAGCGUUGUUCGGAUUUACUGGGCGUAAAGGGCGCGUAGGCGGCAACUCAAGUCAUCUGUGAAAUCUCCGGGCUUAACUCGGAACGGUCAGAUGAUACUGUUUUGCUAGAGUGCAGAAGGGGCAAUCGGAAUUCUUGGUGUAGCGGUGAAAUGCGUAGAUAUCAAGAGGAACACCUGAGGUGAAGACGGGUUGCUGGGCCGAUACUGACGCUGAGGAGCGAAAGCGUGGGGAGCGAACAGG